rnacentral:rRNA from 1 species
CACGAACGCUGGCGGCGUGCCUAAUACAUGCAAGUCGAGCGGAUGACAGAGGAGCUUGCUCCUCUAGAUUCAGCGGCGGACGGGUGAGUAAUAUGUGGGCAACCUGCCUUGUAGUUUGGGAUAACUCCGGGAAACCGGGGCUCAUCUCGAAUAAUCUUUCGGACCUCAUGGUCCGAUGCUGAAAGACGGCUUAGGCUGCCCCAACAGCUCGGGCCCGCGGCGCAUUAGCUAGUUGGUGAGGUAACGGCCCACCAAGGCCACGAUGCGUAGCCGACCUGGGAGGGUGAUCGGCCACACUGGGACUGAGACACGGCCCAGACUCCUACGGGAGGCAGCAGUAGGGAAUCUUCCACAAUGGACGAAAGUCUGAUGGAGCAACGCCGCGUGAGUGAAGAAGGUUCUCGGAUCGUAAAACUCUGUUGUGAGGGAAGAACAAGUACCGGAGUAACUGCCGGUACCUUGACGGUACCUCAUUAGAAAGCCACGGCUAACUACGUGCCAGCAGCCGCAGUAACAC